AGUAAUGUAUGGGGAUCUGCCUGAUGGCGGGGGAUAACUACUGGAAACGGUAGCUAAUACCGCAUAAUGUCUGCGGACCAAAGCGGGGGACCUCCGGGCCUCGCGCCAUCAGAUGAACCCAUAUGGGAUUAGCUAGUAGGUGAGGUAACGGCUUACCUAGGCGACGAUCCCUAGCUGGUCUGAGAGGAUGAUCAGCCACACUAGGACUGAGACACGGUCCAG
rnacentral:rRNA from 1 species